rnacentral:rRNA from 1 species
UGGGGAAUUUUGGACAAUGGGCGAAAGCCUGAUCCAGCAAUGCCGCGUGUGUGAAGAAGGCCUUCGGGUUGUAAAGCACUUUUGUCCGGAAAGAAAUCCUUGGCUCUAAUACAGUCGGGGGAUGACGGUACCGGAAGAAUAAGCACCGGCUAACUACGUGCCAGCAGCCGCGGUAAUACGUAGGGUGCAAGCGUUAAUCGGAAUUACUGGGCGUAAAGCGUGCGCAGGCGGUUUGCUAAGACCGAUGUGAAAUCCCCGGGCUCAACCUGGGAACUGCAUUGGUGACUGGCAGGCUAGAGUAUGGCAGAGGGGGGUAGAAUUCCACGUGUAGCAGUGAAAUGCGUAGAGAUGUGGAGGAAUACCGAUGGCGAAGGCAGCCCCCUGGGCCAAUACUGACGCUCAUGCACGAAAGCGUGGGGAGCAAACAGGAUUAGAUACCCUGGUAGUCCACGCCCUAAACGAUGUCAACUAGUUGUUGGGGACUUCAUUUUCCUUAGUAACGUAGCUAACGCGUGAAGUUGACCGCCUGGGGAGUACGGUCGCAAGAUUAAAACUCAAA